rnacentral:rRNA from 1 species
AACAGGAUUAGAUACCCUGGUAGUCCACGCCGUAAACGAUGUCGACUUGGAGGUUGUGCCCUUGAGGCGUGGCUUCCGGAGCUAACGCGUUAAGUCGACCGCCUGGGGAGUACGGCCGCAAGGUUAAAACUCAAAUGAAUUGACGGGGGCCCGCACAAGCGGUGGAGCAUGUGGUUUAAUUCGAUGCAACGCGAAGAACCUUACCUGGCCUUGACAUCCAGAGAACUUAGCAGAGAUGCUUUGGUGCCUUCGGGAACUCUGAGACAGGUGCUGCAUGGCUGUCGUCAGCUCGUGUUGUGAAAUGUUGGGUUAAGUCCCGCAACGAGCGCAACCCUUAUCCUUUGUUGCCAGCGGUUCGGCCGGGAACUCAAAGGAGACUGCCGGUGAUAAACCGGAGGAAGGUGGGGAUGACGUCAAGUCAUCAUGGCCCUUACGGCCAGGGCUACACACGUGCUACAAUGGCGCAUACAAAGAGAAGCGACCUCGCGAGAGCAAGCGGACCUCAUAAAGUGCGUCGUAGUCCGGAUCGGAGUCUGCAACUCGACUCCGUGAAGUCGGAAUCGCUAGUAAUCGUAGAUCAGAAUGCUACGGUGAAUACGUUCCCGGGCCUUGUACACACCGCCCGUCACACCAUGGGAGUGGGUUGCAAAAGAAGUAGGUAGCUUAACCUUCGGGAGGGCGCUUACCACUUUGUGAUUCAUGACUGGGGUGAAGUCGUAACAAGGUAACC